GCAAGGGGCGGGGUGCUAUACAUGCAAGUAGAACGCUGAAGAGAGGAGCUUGCUCUUCUUGGAUGAGUUGCGAACGGGUGAGUAACGCGUAGGUAACCUGCCUUGUAGCGGGGGAUAACUAUUGGAAACGAUAGCUAAUACCGCAUAACAAUGGAUGACCCAUGUCAUUUAUUUGAAAGGGGCAAAUGCUCCACUACAAGAUGGACCUGCGUUGUAUUAGCUAGUAGGUGAGGUAACGGCUCACCUAGGCGACGAUACAUAGCCGACCUGAGAGGGUGAUCGGCCACACUGGGACUGAGACACGGCCCAGACUCCUACGGGAGGCAGCAGUAGGGAAUCUUCGGCAAUGGGGGCAACCCUGACCGAGCAACGCCGCGUGAGUGAAGAAGGUUUUCGGAUCGUAAAGCUCUGUUGUAAGUCAAGAACGAGUGUGAGAGUGGAAAGUUCACACUGUGACGGUAGCUUACCAGAAAGGGACGGCUAACUACGUGCCAGCAGCCGCGGUAAUACGUAGGUCCCGAGCGUUGUCCGGAUUUAUUGGGCGUAAAGCGAGCGCAGGCGGUUUGAUAAGUCUGAAGUUAAAGGCUGUGGCUCAACCAUAGUUCGCUUUGGAAACUGUCAAACUUGAGUGCAGAAGGGGAGAGUGGAAUUCCAUGUGUAGCGGUGAAAUGCGUAGAUAUAUGGAGGAACACCGGUGGCGAAAGCGGCUCUCUGGUCUGUAACUGACGCUGAGGCUCGAAAGCGUGGGGAGCGAACAGGAUUAGAUACCCUGGUAGUCCACGCCGUAAACGAUGAGUGCUAGGUGUUGGAUCCUUUCCGGGAUUCAGUGCCGCAGCUAACGCAUUAAGCACUCCGCCUGGGGAGUACGACCGCAAGGUUGAAACUCAAAGGAAUUGACGGGGGCCCGCACAAGCGGUGGAGCAUGUGGUUUAAUUCGAAGCAACGCGAAGAACCUUACCAGGUCUUGACAUCCCGAUGCUAUUUCUAGAGAUAGAAAGUUACUUCGGUACAUCGGUGACAGGUGGUGCAUGGUUGUCGUCAGCUCGUGUCGUGAGAUGUUGGGUUAAGUCCCGCAACGAGCGCAACCCCUAUUGUUAGUUGCCAUCAUUCAGUUGGGCACUCUAGCGAGACUGCCGGUAAUAAACCGGAGGAAGGUGGGGAUGACGUCAAAUCAUCAUGCCCCUUAUGACCUGGGCUACACACGUGCUACAAUGGUUGGUACAACGAGUUGCGAGUCGGUGACGGCAAGCUAAUCUCUUAAAGCCAAUCUCAGUUCGGAUUGUAGGCUGCAACUCGCCUACAUGAAGUCGGAAUCGCUAGUAAUCGCGGAUCAGCACGCCGCGGUGAAUACGUUCCCGGGCCUUGUACACACCGCCCGUCACACCACGAGAGUUUGUAACACCCGAAGUCGGUGAGGUAACCUUUUGGAGCCAGCCGCCUAAGGUGAAAGAGG
rnacentral:rRNA from 1 species